rnacentral:rRNA from 1 species
UACAGAGGGUGCGAGCGUUGUCCGGAAUCACUGGGCGUAAAGGGCGCGUAGGCGGCUUGAUAAGCGUGCGGUGAAAGCCCGGGGCUCAACCCCGGGUCGGCCGUGCGAACUGUCGAGCUGGAGCACUGUAGAGGCAGGUGGAAUUCCGGGUGUAGCGGUGGAAUGCGUAGAUAUCAGGAGGAAUACCGAUGGCGAAGGCAGGUCUCUGGGCUGACACUGACGCUCAUGCACGAAAGCGUGGGGAGCAAACAGG